rnacentral:misc_RNA from 1 species
AAAAUUCAGGAGACCAUUGAAGGAUAAGCAGAAUAUGUUUGUGGCCUUGCCCAAUUCCAGUCCUCUACUAAUAGCCUCUUACAUGUCAUGGCCUGAUUCAAAUACUGCAUGCCUUUGAAAUCCUGAUUGGUUCUUCUCAUCCUCCUCUUUGGUGUUGGAUCUUAAAGUCCAGCGAUCGCCUUAAUCGGCUGAGUUGGGUUCCCAUGAAGAGGUAGAAUAU